rnacentral:lncRNA from 1 species
AGGAUAUCUCCAUGUAAGAUACAAUAAACAUUCACAUGCAAACAAGAGAGAGGACCUUCUUCAGCCAAAAGUUCAUACAUAAGAAAUCUAGUAGGUAUUUGACUUGAAGAAUGCAGAAUGAAUCGGUAAUUUUAGAUACCUCUCUCAUAAAUUAGCAAGCAAAGUCAAUAACUUAAAUCUUAUUAUGGCAUGAUUAAAAUCUUUAAAUAUUAACUUCUAGAUAUCAUGUCUAUAUAUGCAUUAAUUGACUUAUGCUUUUAGAAAUUGUUUCAUGGUUUGCCCAAACUAAAAUAUAUCUUUGCCUAUGUCAUAACCAUGAAAUACACAAGUUUAUGCUUAAAAUUUUGAUUUAAAAUAACUUGUGAAAAGUUAUGAAUUCUUGAGCAUAAUGAAAAUGUUGUUUGCAUGAUAUACAUCUAUAUGAUACAUAAGAUUAUUUCUUUAUUCUGCUCAUUCAUGUAAAUUACUUGAGAAUAACAAAAAGAGAGAGAGAGAUAAAGAAAAGAAAAUGGAUAUUAUUCAAGAGAAAAAAAUCUAAGUAAAGGCAAAUACUCCAAUCUUAAGGAAAAGCAAAACAAGCAUAAUAUAUUCGGCACAUUUGUGAGACUUGUGUGAGCAUUCUUUUGGAAGGGAUAAAAUCCGUAAUUAAUUAUACUUAAACAGGGAAAGUUUGAAGUGAACAUUUUAACCUUUCUAUAUUGCUUAUCAUAGGGAUGGUGCCAAUGGGGAGGCUAGUGAUAGUACCCGGCACUAUUUGACCCAACUAUUCGGUGUAGGG